GGAGAGGUGGCUGAGCGGUUGAAGGCGGCGGUCUCGAAAACCGUUGUACUGUUAUGCAGUACCGAGGGUUCGAAUCCCUCCCUCUCCGCCA
rnacentral:tRNA from 1 species